CGCACAUUGCGCCCCUCGGCAUUCCGGGGGGCAUGCCUGUUCGAGCGUCAUUACACCCCUCAAGCUCAGCCUGGUAUUGGGUGCCCGCCCGCGAGGGCGCACCCGAAAAGCAGUGGCGGUCCGGCGUGACUUCGAGCGUAGUAAAUUUUCUCCCGCUCUGGAGGUCCGCGUCGUGACCGGCCAAGACCCUCAUAUUUUCCACGGUUGACCUCGGAUCAGGUAGGGAUACCCGCUGAACUUAA
rnacentral:misc_RNA from 1 species